UAUUACAAAACCUAACAAAUAUUUCCAAAAAAAAAAUCUCCCAAAUCAAAAAAGUUAGGUCUCUUCCUUUUCGACUCCGACUCCACCGUGAAGCUCGUCGCCAGCCUCAAUUCGCGUCGAUUCCGUCAUUACCUUUCAGUCUCAGCCUCCUUUUAUCUUCGAUCUACUCCUCCACCAUUCAAUCUUCCCACUUGUCUCUCCGAUCUCAGAUCUCCCUCUCUUUCUUCGAUUUGUGACGAACGAAAGCUUAGCUUCUCCUCCAAUGGUGGUCAACUCCAAUCAUCGCUUACUCUCUUUUUCUUCAGUGCUCGUCGGUUUUGCAGUGAAACGACAUGGAUUCUCCUUGAAACCAAUGACGAAGCUCUUGGUUAACUAACUCCCGCCAGAGGGAUUACUUCGAGAAGCACAAAUUCAAUGACUCUUCUUCUUCUUUGCCUUCAUACUCCUUGCAAAAUGCUUCUUUGGAUUCUCUUAUUUGCUUCAGCAUCUGCAACAAGUUAAGGCUCACAUGGACUCGCAUUUUGCAGUAGAGACUCAUGCGGAGAAGAAGGUAGAGGAUGUAAUGCCCAUUGCAACUGGACAUGAGAAGGAGGAGCUUGAAGUUGAAUUGGAGUUCUCCAGUUUAAAUCUGAGGAGGUUAGGGUUGAAGAGAGUAGUAAUACGGCGACGAAAAGAAAAGAAGGUGGUGGAGAUGUCGUAGUCGCUGAAUCUGAGGAGCUUAGGGUUGAAGAGAGUAGUAAUACAGUGGAGGAGAGUGAAACUGAAGCAGAGAAUGAAGAGAAAACAGAGUUGACUAUUGAAGAAGAUGAUGAUGAUUGGGAAGGAAUUGAGAGAGGCACAGCCCAUGGCCGUCAUGGUCACUGCUCGUGCCAAAUGUUUCCAUACUUUUCCAUGUUUCUAUAUUCCUUACUCUGCAACUCAGCUUUUGAUCUUUUAGUUUCUUGGCAAUUGAUACUUCUAAUGUGAACGUCAUAAAGGAGAGAACUGUGUGAGAGUUAGACUGAUGAAGAUUAGGUGGUUAGGGAUACAUGUCUAUAUUGUAGAGUUUUGUAGGUUUAAUUUCAGCAAUUGUCUGGAAUAAGCAUUGGUGUAUAGCUUGGUUGCUUUAUGGUAGUUUGCAGAAAGGUUCAGCGUGGCUAUUUUUUUUGUCUUGUUUUUAUCUAAUGUGAGCUUAUUCUGCAAACUAAUCUUAUUUUUUGAGUUUAUUCUGCAAACUAGUUUGUUCGUGUAAGUUAUUUCAGGUGUCAUUGACGAAUCAGGAAAGGCAAAAUGAGCAACUGAAAAGAGUGGCUUCGCUACAAGUAAGAAAGCUUCUACAACAAAGGCUUAUUCUUUUGUAUGAUCCAAGACUUUAGGCUAUGAAGAUUAGUUAUUUUAUUGUAUGUAAUACAUGUUAUAUAUGUUUUGUUUAAUGAAUGUUUUUGAUAAUUUAUGCAAUAAAAAAAUCUAUAUAAAUCCAA